rnacentral:rRNA from 1 species
CCUACGGGAGGCAGCAGUAGGGAAUCUUCGGCAAUGGACGAAAGUCUGACCGAGCAACGCCGCGUGAGUGAAGAAGGUUUUCGGAUCGUAAAACUCUGUUGUCAGAGAAGAACAAGUAGGAGAGUAACUGCUCUUACCUUGACGGUAUCUAACCAGAAAGCCACGGCUAACUACGUGCCAGCAGCCGCGGUAAUACGUAGGUGGCAAGCGUUGUCCGGAUUUAUUGGGCGUAAAGCGAGCGCAGGCGGUCUUUUAAGUCUGAUGUGAAAGCCCUCGGCUCAACCGAGGAAGGUCAUUGGAAACUGGAGGACUUGAGUGCAGAAGAGGAGAGUGGAAUUCCAUGUGUAGCGGUGAAAUGCGUAGAUAUAUGGAGGAACACCAGUGGCGAAGGCGACUCUCUGGUCUGUAACUGACGCUGAGGCUCGAAAGCGUGGGGAGCAAACAGGAUUAGAUACCCGUGUAGUC